CACGGUGUGUCUAAAGCCAAGCAGGACAAGAGCCAAGGCCUGCCCACCCCAGCCAUGGCGGGGUCCAGCGUGGAGGAGGCGGCCGAGGAAUCGCUCUCCUAAGGACAGGGUGGUGUUUCCCAAACCUUUGAUGGCUUUCACUGCCUUCUCUCUGGACGCCAUCCAGCUGGCUCCUCACAGUGCUGUACCCCAAGCUGGGUGCUGAGCCACUCCCAACGCCAAGCGGAUGGGAUUGCAUUCCUCACCUCUCCUUGACAACCUACCCUGCCCGCGGACCAGAAACACACCACGCAGCAAAGAUCACAACUCCCAGAGCCCAGACCGACUGUUUCAUCGACCGCUAAAAGCAUCCCCAGAACCAGAACAAGUGGGCAGCAGCCGGGUGCCUGAAAGAAGGAGAAAGGCAAUGCCCGGCCCACGCCUCGCUCUGACUUCAGCGGAAGAUGCGCUCGUUUCCCAGGAGAGCUUCCUCUCGCAACGCAGAUGUGCUGCACUGAGGCAAUCGCCUUCCAUUGCGUAACGCAACCCGGAAUUAAACACUAUAUGCUAUUCGGUACAUUUCUAAAAUGUAAACCAGAAGCUAUAGCCAAGCUCCACGACGCUGCCAAGAAUGUGAACGCUAUGAUUCGAGCGGGGAAGAACACAUCCUCCCUCCUCCCACAGCCAGCUCUCAGUCGCAGUUUUGCCCGACUCUUUUGUAGUUGUCAGUAAACUAUCGAGUCACACAUCUCUACGGCUUCCAUCUCCAUCUUUGGCGACUGGGGGGACCCCCGGCUCGGGACCUCGUGCUGCCGCCCACAGACCAUCUGGGAAGAAGCCAGCAGGUGGCUGCACCAAGGUACGUGGGGCUGAGGCCACACAGUGCUACUCUUCAGAAGAACACAGGUCUUGUCUAGAAUAUACCAUGCGUAGCCCAGGUUUCCACAGCGGAAAACUCACCGAGGGAAUACUGUUUGCUCAUACUGGCAACGUAUCCCAAAAUUACAGUAAUUUACAACCUCAUUUCCAUUGACAAAAGAAAUAAUAUCAUUCUCUUCUGACAAAUAUCGGUACACAGAGAAAGUAAUGAAUAAAAUGUCUACAAACAGGUAUCAAAUAAAGUAACUAUCAAUCACCGUAACCAAGUUUUAAUUAAAUCACACAUUAAGUAAAAGAACGCUGAAGUAAAACAAGCCACAUAAUCUGAAAUCAAAAUAAAAAUCUGUCAAUCACUCCGAAGCAGGAAAAGCACGAGUCAGAGAAUUCCAAUACCACAACCUGUUAACUGAACGGUCAUGUAAUUGUUACUUGGCAAACUCCAAAUGUGCUAAACGAAGCCAAACGCGGGGAUUCGGCAAAGCAUUGAAGCCUGUGCCAAAGCACAUCUGUAUUUUUAAAAUGUUUUUACUGCGACAGAGAGCUUAAAACUGUGGGAGCAUUCACACACACCUAUACAAUGAUUUAUUUCUAAGAGAGAGAGAGAGAGCACUCAGAAAGCUAUCUGCACCGUCCACAUUUCAGUAUUACAAACCAAGUCAGCUUUUAGCCUAAGUUGCAGACGCAUUUCUGGAGACGCAUUAGAAAGAACCCCAAGGAUUAGUUGUAACACAAAAGGCAGAGGGAGUUGCCUGCCGUCAUCCUGCCAGUUUGUGGAAUGGAAGUUAGCAAAUGAGGCAUGAAAAGAUGUGAGAAAA
ensembl:lncRNA